rnacentral:rRNA from 1 species
CAGUUCAUCCUCUAGCCUGAGCACCCCUCUUCCCCACUAUCAAAGAACCCCCCCCCCCUCCCCACACGUAAUAAAACAUUAUUAAUCUUCAGUAUAUGCGAUAAAAAAAGAACCCAGAGCUAUAGCAACAGUACCGCAAGGGAAAGAUGAAAUAAGAAUGAAACAUCCUCAAACCCUACAAAGCAGAGAUUCUCCCUCGUACCUUUUGCAUCAUGGCCUUACAAGUCUAACCAGGCAAAAAGUAUUCUAGUCUGGCCCCCCGAAACUAAGUGAGCUACUCCGAGGCCACCCCAGGUUAAUCCGUCUCUGUGGCAAAAGAGUGGAGAGACCUCCGAGUAGAGGCAAUAAACCUAUCGAACCUAGUAUUAGCUGGUUGCUCAAGAAAAGAAUUUAAGUUCCCUAUUAAAAAUUACAAGCGUAAUCAAGCUAACCUAAUUUUUAAGAGUUAUUCAAUAAGGGUACAGCCUUAUUGAAAAAGGAUACAACCUACACUUCAGGUUAAUGAAUAUAUCCCCAGAGGUUAAAGGCUAAGUUGGCCUAAAAGCCGCCAUCUUUUAAAAAGCGUCAAAGCUUUACCUUUCCCCAACCCCUUAUCCAAUUACUUUUUCUAAACCCGUCAUUAUUAUUGAGCUUCUCUAUACCUCUAUAGAAGUAUUAAUGUAAGGACUAGUAACACAGAAUAAUUUCUCUUACAUGUAAGCGUAAAUCAACCCGAAUACCCCACUGAUAAUUAAUCAGCUAUGAAUUUAAAGUACCACCACCUCACCCCGAAAACCUUACUUAAUUAACUGUUAACCUUACACAUGAACAUGAAAGAAAGAUAAAAAGACCGGGAAGGAACUCGGCAAACACAAGUCCCGCCUGUUUACCAAAAACAUCGCCUUUUGAGUAUUAUAAAAGGUAAUGCCUGCCCAGUGACAAUAUGUUUAACGGCCGCGGUAUUUUGACCGUGCGAAGGUAGCGUAAUCACUUGUCUUUUAAAUAAAGACUAGUAUGAACGGCAACACGAGGACUUAGCUGUCUCCCCCCUCCUAUCAGUGAAACUGAUCUCCCCGUGCAAAAGCGGGGAUAUAAUCAUAAGACGAGAAGACCCUAUGGAGCUUAAAACUAAAAACUACCUGUGGAAUCUGUUACCCCUAAAAUAACACUAUGAUAACAGGCCUAGUCAAAGUUUUCAGUUGGGGUGACUGUGGAGAAAAAUAAAUCCUCCAUGAAGAACUAAGCCUUGGGUGACAAUCCUACGCAUUAGCAAGCCUAACUUUACUUGACCCAAUAUUUUUGAUCAACGGACCAAGUUACCCUAGGGAUAACAGCGCAAUCCAUUUCAAGAGUUCAUAUCGACAAAUGGGUUUACGACCUCGAUGUUGGAUUAGGACACCCCAGUGGUGCAGCCGCUACUAACGGUUCGUUUGUUCAACGAUUAAAGUCCUACGUGAUCUGAGUUCAGACCGGA